GUGCCAGCAGCCGCGGUAAUACGUAGGCAGCGAGCGUUGUUCGGAGUUACUGGGCGUAAAGCGUGCGUAGGCGGUGGCCCAAGUCUGGUGUGAAAUCUCCCGGCUUAACCGGGAGGGUGCGCCGGAAACUGGGUUGCUUGAGUGCCGGAGAGGCAGGCGGAAUUCCUGGUGUAGCGGUGAAAUGCGUAGAUAUCAGGAGGAACACCCGUGGUGUAGACGGCCUGCUGGACGGCAACUGACGCUGAGGCACGAAAGCGUGGGGAGCAAACAGGAUUAGAAACCCUCGUAGUCC
rnacentral:rRNA from 1 species